rnacentral:rRNA from 1 species
GAUGAACGCUGGCGGCGUGCCUAAUACAUGCAAGUCGAGCGAACAGACGAGGAGCUUGCUCCUCUGACGUUAGCGGCGGACGGGUGAGUAACACGUGGAUAACCUACCUAUAAGACUGGGAUAACUUCGGGAAACCGGAGCUAAUACCGGAUAAUAUAUUGAACCGCAUGGUUCAAUAGUGAAAGACGGUUUUGCUGUCACUUAUAGAUGGAUCCGCGCCGCAUUAGCUAGUUGGUAAGGUAACGGCUUACCAAGGCAACGAUGCGUAGCCGACCUGAGAGGGUGAUCGGCCACACUGGAACUGAGACACGGUCCCGACUCCUACGGGAGGCAGCAGUAGGGAAUCUUCCGCAGAGGGCGAAAGGCUGACGGAGCAACGCCGCGUGAGUGAUGAAGGGCUUCGGAUCGUAAGACUCUGUUAUUAGGGAAGAACAAAUGUGUAAGUAACUAUGCACGUUUUGACGGUACCUAAACAGAAAGCCACGGCUAACUACGUG